rnacentral:rRNA from 1 species
UACGUAGGCAGCAAGCGUUGUUCGGAGUUACUGGGCGUAAAGGGUGCGUAGGCGGCUUUUUAAGUUUGGUGUGAAAUCUCCCGGCUCAACUGGGAGGGUGCGCCGAAUACUGAGAAGCUAGAGUGUGGGAGAGGAAAGUGGAAUUCCUGGUGUAGCGGUGAAAUGCGUAGAUAUCAGGAGGAACACCGGUGGUGUAAACGGCUUUCUGGACCAUAACUGACGCUGAGGCACGAAAAGCGUGGGUAGCAAACAGG